rnacentral:rRNA from 1 species
GUAGGUGGCAAGCGUUGUCCGGAAUUAUUGGGCGUAAAGCGCGCGCAGGCGGUUCUUUAAGUCUGAUGUGAAAGCCCACGGCUCAACCGUGGAGGGCCAUUGGAAACUGGAGAACUUGAGUACAGAAGAGGAAAGCGGAAUUCCACGUGUAGCGGUGAAAUGCGUAGAGAUGUGGAGGAACACCAGUGGCGAAGGCGGCUUUCUGGUCUGUAACUGACGCUGAGGCGCGAAAGCGUGGGGAGCAAACAGGGAUUAGAUACCCUGGUAGUCCACGCCGUAAACGAUGAGUGCUAAGUGUUAGGGGGUUUCCGCCCCCUUAGUGCUGCAGCUAACGCAUUAAGCACUCCGCCUGGGGAGUACGGCCGCAAGGCUG